rnacentral:rRNA from 1 species
UUGGAUGGUAGUGUAUUGGACUACCAUGGCUCUUACGGGUAACGGAGGAUUAGGGUUCGAUUCCGGAGAGGGAGCCUGAGAAACGGCUACCACUUCUAAGGAAGGCAGCAGGCGCGUAAAUUACCCAAUCCUGAUUCAGGGAGGUAGUGACAAGAAAUAAUGGACCGGAGCUUUGUGCACCGGGAUUGCAAUGAAUACAAUUUAAACCCCUUAAUGAGGAACAAUUGGAGGGCAAGUCUGGUGCCAGCAGCCGCGGUAAUUCCAGCUCCAAUAGCGUAUAUUAAAGUUGUUGCAGUUAAAAAGCUCGUAGUUGGAUUUCUGGGUUUGUGUCAAAGUCAGUCAGAUGACCUGUGCUGCGACGCUGACUCAUCCUUCUGUUAACGAUUCUUGGUAUUCAUUUACUGGUUUCGGGCUCAGAUAUUUUACCUUGAGAAAAUUAGAGUGUUCCAGGCAGGCUUGCGCCGGAAUACAUUAGCAUGGAAUAAUAGAAUAGGACUUUUGUCUCUUUUGUUGGUUUGAGGGACUAAAGUAAUGAUUAAUAGGGAUAGUUGGGGGCAUUAGUAUUUAAUUGUCAGAGGUGAAAUUCUUGGAUUUGUUAAAGACUAACUUAUGCGAAAGCAUUUGCCAAGGAUGUUUUCAUUAAUCAAGAACGAAAGUUAGGGGAUCAAAGACGAUCAGAUACCGUC